rnacentral:rRNA from 1 species
AUUGAACGCUGGCGGCAUGCUUUACACUUGCAAGUCGAACGGUAACAGGCCGCAAGGUGCUGACGAGUGGCGAACGGGUGAGUAAUGCAUCGGAACGUGCCCAGUCGUGGGGGAUAACUGCUCGAAAGAGCAGCUAAUACCGCAUACGAUCUAUGGAUGAAAGCGGGGAACCGUAAGGCCUCGCGCGAUUGGAGCGGCCGAUGUCAGAUUAGGUAGUUGGUGGGGUAAAGGCUCACCAAGCCAACGAUCUGUAGCUGGUCUGAGAGGACGACCAGCCACACUGGGACUGGGACACGGCCCAGACUCCUACGGGAGGCAGCAGUGGGGAAUUUUGGACAAUGGGGGCAACCCUGAUCCAGCAAUGCCGCGUGCAGGAAGAAGGCCUUCGGGUUGUAAACUGCUUUUGUACGGAACGAAACGGUCUGGGUUAAUACCCUGGGCUAAUGACGGUACCGUAAGAAUAAGCACCGGCUAACUACGUGCCAGCCGCCGCCGUAAAAC